rnacentral:lncRNA from 10 species
CAGUUAGACUGUUUGUAUGAACUUUCAACAAAGUUACAAAGGAGCGUUGCCCGGCACCCUCACACGUGGCCCCACAGUGACCAGGGCCACCUGCAACCGGGCUGCCCUAGCAAAGGGAGGAAUCUGGAAACAAAGAAAAUGGUCCUAAUCCUUGAGAAAAUUGGACCACAGCCUUUCCCAAGGAAUAUCCUUCAGAGCAGUAAUUCCAUAGGCCGGCGAUAGGUAGUGAGUAACCAAGAGCCCGGUGCUCAAGCAGGCGUAUAAAUCACUGAUUAAACACAACUUAAGUAGGUUUAUUUACAGCAGCUUUUUUUUCUUUUAGUUUUUAAUACUACAAUGUGAAUUACGAAUCUCCAGGAGGAGAAUAUAAUAUGCGCUGUUUCCGAAGCUCAUCUGACUACAAACUGUGUUUUAAAGAAUGUCUGGCAAUGCAACAGAGCUUCUAUUUCCUGGCAGAUGGACCAUGAGCCUGGGCCAGAGAAUCUGGUGCUGAGCUGCUGCAGUCAGCUGAGCUGCUUACGUAACCUGAAGGCUCUCCUGGGAGGACCAUGCUGUGAAAGGCAGCUCUGGUUUGCUUCCCCUCAGAUAAUGUUUAUAUGGCCUUUUGGUCAGAGAAGAAGCAAAGAUAAUCCCCCUGACCCUCAGGUUGAGGAGACACAGAUCGGCCUUUGCUGAGGGUAGCACAGCAAAUGAGGAUGCAUCUCCCAGCAGGGUCAAAUGCAAACAAAAAUGCUGUGAGACGCAGGACAUCAGGGGCAUCCCAGGGCCUGAAUAUUCUUACUCUGACCAGAGCCGGCUCCGGGCAGCUGUCAGCCAUGCCUUAAAAAUCAGAAGUCUGCACACUUUUUCCGUAAAGGGCCAGGUAUUAAAUCUUUCAGGUUCAUGGGCCACAUGUGGUCUCAGAUGCAACUACCCAGCACUGCCAUUGUGGCAUGGAAGCAGCCAUAGAGACUUUGUAAAUGAAUGGGCACGGUGGCAUUCCAAUAAAACUUCAUUUACAAAAACAAGCCAUGGGCUGGAUUUGGACUAUGAGUUAUACUUUGCCAACACCUGGUUUAAAUUAAAUCUGAACUUCCCUCGGAG